UGUUUUUUUUAAAAAAAGAAUUCAUUUCAAGUUUUCCCUGCAGCCUAAGCCCUUCCAUUUAUGAAACAAUAUCAAAGCCCAUGUUCCCAACCCAUAAAAAUGAGAGAGAGAGAGAUGGGUCCUCAAAACAAGUACUGCUUAUUUCUUAAGUACUCAAUUUAAAGCUCAGUGCUUUUGGCAGAAGCACCUACACAUGUGUGUAUGUCAUCUACAUGCCAAUUUUUUUUUGAGGUUUGAAAUAAGGGGUGGAAUAGUAAACUGGAAUAAGUUAUAGAGUUUGAAGAGUUGGAGUCGUGCACUACCCCUAACACUCACAGCAUGUGUAAAGAAGUAAUAAGAUUAGUGGAUCUUUUGAGAUUUGAGAACAGAGAAGAACUGUUUGGUGCUGAAGAAAAAGAUAAAGAGAGCACAUGAAUUGAUGAAAUAAUUGAUAUGGGCAAUGGUCAAUCUAAAUGAAGAUGAAGAAGAAACAUAACAUCUCUGUUUUCUGAAAUUUAUAUUUGUUGUUAUGGUAAAAGGUGAAACAUUAUCAACUGUGAAGGCUGCAGGUUUUGACUGAUUUUUUUUACUGUUAGUCUAUUUCUUUCUUACAAUGUCUGAAAACAUACCAUAAAAAGCAAGCAGUGUUGGACUUUGUUUAACCUAAAGAGGACAAAGCAAUUCUAUCAGCUUGGAGAUGUUUCUGGCUAGCAUGGGAGAAAGAAAAAAAAAAUCAACUUUUACCCAUAGAUUUGUGUAAGUUGUAUCCCCAACUUUCAAACUGUACGCUCAAAUUUAGUACAUAAGAGAUUCAAUUCA